rnacentral:misc_RNA from 1 species
GGCAAAUGGCCCAAGGGAAUUGUCCCCUAUGUGUUUGACGCCAGCCUUGAUGUUAAUAGAGGUUACUUCCUGCAAGCGAUUGAGCUCUUUAAUAAUUUUACCUGUGUAAUGUGGAAGCCGAAAUCACCGGAAGUAGCAGCGGAAGUAGGCCACGAGGGUUAUGUGCUCGUCAGAAGUGGAACUAGUUGCAGUUCUGGGGUCGGUUUCAACGGCGACGGGGAACACAUCAUAAAUUUCAAAGAGCCCGGAUGCGGAUGGGUUGAUGUUGCGGUUCAUGAAAUGUUGCAUCGGAUUGGCCAAAGACACGAGCAUGCGCGGAGCGAUCGGGAUCGGUAUGUCAAGAUCAAUUGGGAUAAUAUCCAUAUUUCGGGAAGAUACAACUACUACCGGCUAAACACAUACAACCGGAAUCCCUAUGAUAUUGGGAGCGUGAUGCAUUAUGGGUACUCUUCAUCUGAGACGGCUGACAUAGAGUUGAAGGACAAGAACCUGAAUUUCCUGGAGUUUCCUGGAAGUCAGAUCUUCUCUUACUACGACCUCAAGGACGUCAUUGACCAGUACCAAUGUGCUGCACACUGUAUAUCGCCACCAGUGUGUCAGAACGGAGGAUACGUCAACGCUAACUGUCAGUGCACGUGUCCCGAGGGAUUCAGUGGAGUGUCCUGUGUCACCGUUGUCACAGAUCCGGAUUGUGGAGGGUAUGUACAUCUAAAAGAAAACGACUUAGUCUUGGAACGAGAGAAAGUAGCCUUUAUUACGUCACCGAACUACCCGGGUCCAAUCGGUCUAGGCAAAAUUUGUAGAUGGGCAGUCACGGUGCCUGUUGGUUACAUCAUCAAGAUGACAAUAGAUGACCUCCACAUGGCCUAUAACCCGGAUACACUCCGUUGUUACCACUGGCUGGAGGUUCAAUACAACCUUCCUGGCCAGCAGGGAAUCCGGCGCUGUGGUGAUAUUGUUGGGGAGACUUUCCUAAGCUCUAUCGAUUCUCCCACAUUGAUGAUCAUCACCAUGGAUACCAAACUUGCAGGCGGAAGGGUCACCAAGAAAGGAUUCAAACUCCACGUUGAAAAGGAGAGGGAAGUUUGUAGAGACAGUCCCUGUGUGUUCGGAAUAUGUGUCCCCACUGAGAGGAAGUCAUACGAGUACAAGUGUGUGUGUCAGCCAGGCUACACGGGGGACAAGUGUGACCAGGUCGUUGACGGUGCAAAACUGAAAUGUUCGUUCGAAAGAUUUGAAAAAUGUUUCUUUGACAACGUGCAGGAGGGAGAUGAAUUUGAAUGGGGACCAGGCUUUAGACACACCAUAUCCGAAUGGACAGGGCCAGAGGAUGCCUUCCGAGGUGAACGCUUUUUAUUUACUGAGAUGUCAUUACCCAGAGUUCCUGGCGACAAAGCCAUUCUACAGACAACCGUCGCAUUACCAGAGCAAGCAGGUUGCCUGUCGUUUGCCUAUAACAUGUUUGGGAGUACCGUGUACAAACUGACUCUGUAUGCCGAGGGAACAAACUCGCCUAAGUAUGUUCUGUGGUCAAAAGAAGGAAAUCAAGGGUCCGAUUGGUUAACAGCAAAAGUUGACGUCCCAGCAAUUCAAGGACUAAAGCUGUCCUUUGAAGCAGUGACAGGAGACUCGUGGGACAGUGACAUAGCGUUAGACGAGAUCACCUGGGAAACUGGACAAUGUGGACCUGAUACUUUUAAUGACUGUCUCAGAGUUGGAGAAGAGUAUGAUGGAACACGAAACUACACGAAACGGGGCGUAGCCUGUCAGGCCUGGUCAUCCAAUACACCGCACACACCUGGUUCUCAAUACGCGUAUUUAGCAUCGGACUCGAACUACUGUCGUAUUGCUGACGAACCCGACCCUUGGUGCUACACAUCAGAUGCCGGAACCAGAUGGGACUGGUGUAGUAUUCCAUACUGCUUUGCGACAGAGUGUGCCUACACGCCGACUGGCAUGGACUACAUGGGUACUGUCAGUCACACCAAGACCGGUAUCCCCUGUCAGAGGUGGGACUCCCAGUCCCCCCACCCCCACAGCUACGGGUACCUGUCCAAGGACGAGAACUACUGUAGGAACACCGACGGGAGCGAGGGGCCCUGGUGUUAUACACAGGACCCAGAUAUACGUUACGAGCUGUGCGAUGUACCCGUCUGUGAGAAAAUCGAACAGGAAUGUUUAAUGACAAGUCGGGGUUUGGAUUACGCAGGAAAACAAAGCGUAACGAAUACUGGCAAAACUUGUGAACACUGGACCGAUGAACAAAUGUCAGAGGACGAAAAUUAUUGUAGAAAUCCAGACCAGUCAGUUAAACCAUGGUGCUAUGUUCAGAGCGGAACUGGACUGGUGAAAGAGUAUUGUGAUAUACCUUCGUGUGCUGAUUCCCCAUGUUUUCCUAAUCCUUGUAAGAACAGAGGAGAAUGUUCAGUGGAAGGAGCCUCAUAUUCCUGCACUUGUUUGAAUGGUUUCUCGGGCGGUAACUGCGAAACACAGGAAUUAGGAAAUCAAGAGGACUGUAAAAGAUCAAGCAAUGGUUGGGAUUAUUCCGGGAAGAGAAACGUCACACAAAGCGGAAGGACUUGCCAGGUAUGGAGUGCGCAGUCUCCACAUUCCCAUGGAUACACUUCCUAUCCUGAAAACUACUGUAGAAACCCGGAUGGGGAACCAUCGCCGUGGUGUUACACCACAGAUCCGUACAAACGUUGGGAACUUUGUGACAUUCCGGAUUGUGUGUCUCCUCCCCUGGAGUGCCUCCCAAACUCUGAUCUGAGGGGUAGACAGUACUACGGUACUCAGAGCGUGACGGAGACAGGCGACACGUGUCAACGCUGGGACAGCCAGUCUCCCUUCACCCACAGCUUCAGUUACCUAGGCGACCAGGAAAACUACUGUCGUAACCCUGACAGCGACUUGAAACCAUGGUGUUUCACGACCAAUGUAAACAGGCGAUAUGGCUACUGCAACGUUCCUUACUGCUGAACGUAUUUCUGAACAAUCCGUAAACACUUAUUUUCUCAUAUUCUGACUUUUUAAACCAAUUGUGAUUUCUAUUUCAAUAAUAACGUAUUCUUCUGAACUUGUGUGUGUGACUUAUAUUCAUCGAAGCUUUUUUAGAAUCGUUUUUCACUACUGAUUUGUGUCGUGUCUUUAAUAAAAUAAACUUCUGCUUAAUUGAAUGCAGCCAAAAAACAUUAUCUCAAUUUUUUAAGAUGAAAGUACACUAAAAAAAAUUGUCACCUAAUGUGAAAACUUCUGAAUAUAUUGUUAAUUUUAAGUUACAAUAAAAGACCUAGUUUCUUGAUGCACACAUCCAUUAAAUUGACUUUAUUUGUU